AUUGAACGCUGGCGGCAGGCCUAACACAUGCAAGUCGAGCGGAUGAGAGGAGCUUGCUUCUCGAUUCAGCGGCGGACGGGUGAGUAAUGCCUAGGAAUCUGCCUGGUAGUGGGGGACAACGUUUCGAAAGGAACGCUAAUACCGCAUACGUCCUACGGGAGAAAGCAGGGGACCUUCGGGCCUUGCGCUAUCAGAUGAGCCUAGGUCGGAUUAGCUAGUUGGUGAGGUAAUGGCUCGCCAAGGCGACGAUCCGUAACUGGUCUGAGAGGAUGAUCAGGCACACUGGAACUGAGACACGGUACAGACUCCUACGGGAGGCAGCAGUGGGGAAUAUUGGACAAUGGGCGAAAGCCCGAUCCAGCCAUGCCGCGUGUGUGAAGAAGGUCUUCGGAUUGUAAAGCACUUUAAGUUGGGAGGAAGGGUUGUAGAUUAAUACUCUGCAAUUUUGACGUUACCGACAGAAUAAGCACCGGCUAACUCUGUGCCAGCCGCCGCCGUAACAC
rnacentral:rRNA from 1 species